AUCAACAGGCAUUUACUUCA
rnacentral:miRNA from 1 species